rnacentral:pre_miRNA from 1 species
UUUUUGUUUUGAAUUUUCGUUGUUCUGAGUCCAUGAUAUAUUAAAAGUUUUGUUCCUUGUCCCUGCAGUCAAUUAAGUGAUAACGUGGUACCAUCCUAACAUAUAUUGAAAGAGCCGUUGAGAUAAUGUCACAUCAUCACUUAACUCACAACAGGAACUUGAAACAAAACUUUUAAUAUAUCAGGGAUUCAAAACAACGAAAAAAUUUAUCAAGGA